rnacentral:rRNA from 1 species
UACAGAGGGUGCGAGCGUUGUCCGGAAUCACUGGGCGUAAAGGGCGCGUAGGCGGCUUGAUAAGCGUGCGGUGAAAGCCCGGGGCUCAACCCCGGGUCGGCCGUGCGAACUGUCGAGCUGGAGCACUGUAGAGGCAGGUGGAAUUCCGGGUGUAGCGGUGGAAUGCGUAGAGAUCCGGAAGAACACCGGUGGCGAAGGCGGCCUGCUGGGCAGUGGGUGACGCUGAGGCGCGACAGCGUGGGGAGCAAACAGG